rnacentral:lncRNA from 1 species
AUGAGUAGUAUUGGGCAAAUAGUACUCAAGAAAUGUUAGCAGUUGAGAAGUCAGUUAUCAUAUGUAGGCAUGGACAUAUGUGUCUAUAGAAUCAUAGAAUUGUACGUUAUCUUGAAGAAUAAUCAUUUUACACUUUACCGUUUAAUCAAGCCUGUCCAUCUUUUCCUAUGUUUCCUUGGAUGUGUGUUUUCUAUUCUUUUUUUGACCACAUACUGCUGCCUCAGGCAGAUGGGGGGCCCUGAGUCCCUGGCCUGGAAGUGGGCCUGAGGCUGUGGUGAAUGGAGCCAAGAGAAUAAUUACCAGGUCAGUUUCCUAUGGAGUUUCUGGGUCAGUAAUGCCAAGACCAAUAGUCCAGGGUCAGGGUGCCAAAUUCAGACAGGGCAAUAAAAAAGAGAAAGCUCUAAUUCAAAUUGAUCGUUCUGACAGAGAAGGCAAUGCAAAGGGAGUUCAGUCAGACAAGCCAGGACUGAUUCCUGAGAAAAAAAUGCACACAGUGCCAAUUUCCUUUUUUAACUGGUUCCUGCCACAGCUAACAUCGGGGACAUAUCCUAAAGUGAGUGAUGCAGCUGGGGAGUGCACCAUUGUAUUCUCACAGAGUUUUCUCUCAGCCUGAGAUUGACUGAAUAUUCACUUAUAGUUUCUCCUUUUUUUUAUUAUUUGAGAUUUUACGUUUAAUUCUUUUUUAUGCAUUUUCUACUUAUGUAUUACAUUUAAGUCUUUAACAUCUCUAGUUAGAAAACUGCACUUGUAUAUGGGUAAGAUUGGUUUCUACUGUGCUAGCUUCCUCAGCUUUAUUAGUAAGAUAUGCAUAGUGGUCAAGAACAUGAAUUCUAGGCCGGGCGCCGUGGCUCACACUUGUAAUCCCAGCACUUUGGGAGGCCGAGGCGGGUGGAUCACCUGAGGUCAGGAGUUCAAGAUUAGACUGGCCAACAUGGUGAAACUCCAUCUCUGCUAAAAAUACAAAAAUUAGCUGGGCGUCAUGGUGCGUGCGUGUGAUCCCAGCUACUCAGGAGACUGAGGCAGGAGAAUCGCUUGAACCCAGGAGGAAGAGGUUGCAGUGAGCCAAGAUUGCGCCACUGCACUCCAGCCUGGGUGACAAAGUGAGACCUUGUCUCAAAAAUAAAUAAAUUAAUUAAAUAAAAUAAGAUAGGAACAAUGCAGAGAAGAUUAGCAAGGCCCUUGCACAAGGAUGUCAUGAAAAUUUGCUAAGCAUUCCGUAUAUUUUAUCUGAAGUGUUCUCAUCAUGUACACACACAAAAACAUAAGUAUGUCAGGUGAUGGUUAGUUAGCUUGAUUCUGGUGAUUAUUCCACAAUGCACAUAUGUAUCAAAAUAUCAAAUGGUACACCUUAAAUAUAUACAAUUCAAAUUUGUCAAUUAUACCUUAUUAAAGCAGCAGCAGAAGAAGGGGUGUUACCAAACUGCCCAAAACUGUAGUUGCCACAGCCCCCUCUGCCCUUCCUGUUCUCUUUUUCCUGCCUUUCUAUACUUGGGAUCUUUGGCUUAUGUGUGUUAAAUUGGAUGUUAUGAAAAACAAGAAAUAUUCAAGCUUUCUAUGCAUUAAGAUUUAGUAGUAUAUAAACUUUGAUCCACUUUAUAUUUUUCAGUAGAGGGGACCAUGUAGAAUAGCUGGCAUCAGAAUUUUCUGGAUUUUUUUCCUCAAGCGAUACCACUAAAAUGGAAACCUGAAGAUUUUUAUAAGCAAAUGUAGGCUAACAUUGAUUUUUAAAAAAGCCGCCAAUAUGCUAUAGCAGUGAAUGUUGCAAACAAAAUGACUUUCCUUAAUUAUAAUCGGGUGAAUUUGGGACUAGGAAAAACAGUUUGUUUACCCAUUUAAUCACCACCUAUAGGUAAGAAGCUCAGAGACUUUCCAGGUGAAUGAGGCCCCUGAUAAAUAUAUCUCUGUCUUGUGGACAGUAAAAUGAUUCAACAAAUGUCAUAUGUAGUGUUUAGCUCUUGAGGAGACCUAUGGCCUAGUUGGAACAUAUCCUAUGUGCUGUGCCUACUGGAGGGUAGCAUGAACAGAUUGCUGGUAAUAGCUCACUCCACAUAGUGUCUGUCAGAUAUAAAGUGCCAGGUCAAGUAGUGACCACAUGCAAUGUGGACACCAUGAUUUUUCCACUUCUCUCAAUUACUAAAAAGCUUUUAAGAGGCUGGGCAUGGUGGCUCAUGCCUGUAAUCCCAACAAUUUCGGAGGCCGAGGCGGGCAGAUAGCCUGAGGUUAGGAGUUCAAGACCAGCCUGGCCAACAUGGCGAAACCCUGUCUCUACUAAAAAUACAAAAAUUAGCUGGGUGUGCUGGUGCAUGCCUGUAAUCCCAGCUACUUGGGAGUCUGAGGCAGGGAGAAUCGCUUGAACCUGGGAAUCGGAAGUUGCAGUGAGCCGAGGUCAUGCCAUUACACUCCAGCCUGGGCGACAGAGGGAGACUGUCUCAAAAAAACAAAAACAACAAAAGCAUGAAUUCUAGAGUCAGAUUGCUUGGGUCAAAAUAUUGGCUCUAGCACCUAAUAAAUAAUUAGCCGCAUUAACCUCUUCAUGCCUCACCUUCUUUUCUAUGAAAUGCAGAUAAAAUAUUACCUACCUCCAGGUAUUGGCAUAUCACUAGCAAUGAACAUACUUGAUGCCAGAUCUUGUUUUAUAUGUGCAAUUUUAUGAAAGAAAAAAAAGAAAAGGAAAGAAAUCAGGGCAGCCGGGGGCAUUGGUUCACACCUAUAAUCCUAGCACUUUGGAAGGCCAAGGUGGGAGGAUCACUUGAGCUCAGGAUUUCCAGACCAGCCUUGGCAACAUGGCACAACCUCAUCUCUACUAAAAAUACCAAACAAUAGCCGGUUGUGGUUGCGCACGUCUUUAGUCCCAGCUUAUAGUCCCAGCUACUUUGGAGGCUGAGGCACGAGAAUCGCUUCAUCCCGUGAGGUGGAGGUUGUAGUGAGCCCAGGUCGCGUCAUCUCCAGCCUGGGCAGCGGAGCAAGACUC